GGUUAAUAAUCUGAACAGUCCACUAAUGAGAACAGGUUAAUAAUCUGAACAGUCCACUAAUGAGAACAGGUUAAUAAUCUGAACAGUCCACUAAUGAGAACAGGUUAAUAAUCUGAACAGUCCACUAAUGAGAACAGGUUAAUAAUCUGAACAGUCCACUAAUGAGAACAGGCUAGUAAUCUAAACAGGCAACUAAUGAGAACAGGUUAAUAAUCUGAACAGUUCACU